UACGAAGGGGGCUAGCGUUGUUCGGAAUUACUGGGCGUAAAGCGUGCGCAGGCGGUUUUGUAAGUCAGAUGUGAAAUCCCCGGGCUCAACCUGGGAACUGCGUUUGAAACUACAAGGCUAGAGUGUAGCAGAGGGGGGUAGAAUUCCACGUGUAGCAGUGAAAUGCGUAGAGAUGUGGAGGAAUACCAAUGGCGAAGUGCCAGCCCCCUGGGUUAACACUGAUGCUCAUGCACGAAAGCGUGGGGAGCAAACAGG
rnacentral:rRNA from 1 species